rnacentral:rRNA from 1 species
GACGAACGCUGGCGGCGUGCUUAACACAUGCAAGUCGAACGGAAAGGCCCUGCUUUUGUGGGGUGCUCGAGUGGCGAACGGGUGAGUAACACGUGAGUAACCUGCCCUUGACUUUGGGAUAACUUCAGGAAACUGGGGCUAAUACCGGAUAGGAGCUCCUGCUGCAUGGUGGGGGUUGUAAAGUUUCGGCGGUUGGGGAUGGACUCGCGGCUUAUCAGCUUGUUGGUGGGGUAGUGGCUUACCAAGGCUUUGACGGGUAGCCGGCCUGAGAGGGUGACCGGCCACAUUGGGACUGAGAUACGGCCCAGACUCCUACGGGAGGCAGCAGUUGGGAAUAUUGCACAAUGGGCGGAAGCCUUAUGCAGCAACGCCGCGUGCGGGAUGACGGCCUUCGGGUUGUAAACCGCUUUCGCCUGUGACGAAGCGUGAGUGACGGUAAUGGGUAAAGAAGCACCGGCUAACUACGUG